rnacentral:lncRNA from 1 species
GUUUGUUUACAUGGCCACCAAGAGAUUCUCUAGCACCUUUCCCAUUAGGUAUCAUAGAAUAUUUAUGGUAGAAAUGAGGCUGGAAAAUAAUUUCAAGGGAGUCCUUUUUGAAUUUCCAUCUCUUCUACUUCCUUCCUUGUACUGUUAGCUUAAACUUCAGGAUCUCAAAGCAAUGAAUGGAAGUGAACAGAAGUGGCGCUGUGUUGAAGCAUCCUAUUCAAGACUGAUUACAGGCUAUGCUAUGGAAAUUCUUACAUCAUCAAGUAUAAGAAAGAAGGAAAAUGCAGUUUCCACCAUGUUAAAUCUAUAUAAAAUACAUUCUCAAAAAGAAAAUCAAGGAGAACUGAAACAAACUAAAAAAAAACACCAAAAUGUUAAUGGGAUGAAGGUAAUAUUUCUGUCUACUGGAUAUAAACUAGGUAUUGGAAGUAUACGAUCCUAAAGGUCCUUUCCAACCCAAUACAUUCUAUGAUUCUGUGACUACAAAGGACUCAAAAGCAAGAAGUAGCUAGUACCAAAAAUAUCUUAGGUCUUACUUCCUGUUUAUUUGUUAUCAUAUUUUCUGAUGUUAAACAAAAAAUGUUUUUUUUUCUACUUCUGUGUUAUGCUUCUACCUACUAUGUGACAAGUAGGACGAUCAUGCCAUCUUCACAUCUAUAGAACUGAGAUGGUCUGCCUACCUAUUACAUUCACUUUGGGGCAAGGACUGUAUUCUGAAAUCAGUCAUGUUAAAAUAUAUUUGGUAUCAGUGCUUUCAACCAGAAUAACAGGAGAGCAAUAGCAUUUAUAUUUUAAAAAGUCCUUUUCUGACUGGCAAUGAAAGGACAAUAACAGUUUUCAGUAUAAAUGAAAUUCUUCUUAAAUAAGUGAUUUAUCUAAUGAUAACUAUGUAGAAACUUGAGAAAUGAAAUACAGCAUCAGUAUUCAUUUUAAAAAAAAUAAUAAUUUUUUGAAAAGUUUCAAUAGGAUUAAAACUCCCUAACAGCCCAGAUUAAAAUUUUCUUCACAUUUCAUAAUAGGUGACAUGUUAUUUUGUUGGAAAGUGGGC